rnacentral:rRNA from 1 species
UACAGAGGGUGCAAGCGUUAAUCGGAUUUACUGGGCGUAAAGGGCGCGUAGGUGGUUGUUUAAGUGAGAUGUGAAAGCCCCGGGCUCAACCUGGGAACUGCAUCUUAUACUGGGCAACUGGAGUACAUGAGAGGGUAGUGGAAUUUCCGGUGUAGCGGUGAGAUGCGUAGAUAUCGGAAGGAACACCAGUGGCGAAGGCGGCUACCUGGCAUGAUACUGACACUGAGGCGCGAGAGCGUGGGGAGCAAACAGG